GUAGUGUGGCAUAGUGGUUUGAGUGUUGGGCUAUACCUCUAGAGACCAGGGUUCAAUUCCCAGCUCAGACA